rnacentral:rRNA from 1 species
AUUGAACGCUGGCGGCAGGCCUAACACAUGCAAGUCGAACGAGUGGCGGACGGGUGAGUAAUGUCUGGGGAACUGCCCGAUGGAGGGGGAUAACUACUGGAAACGGUGGCUAAUACCGCAUACUAUCGGAUGAACCCAUAUGGGAUUAGCUAGUAGGUGGGGUAAAGGCUCACCUAGGCGACGAUCUCUAGCUGGUCUGAGAGGAUGACCAGCCACCCUGGGACUGAGACACGGUCCAGACUCCUACGGGAGGCAGCAGUGGGGAAUAUUGCACAAUGGGCGCAAGCCUGAUGCAGCCAUGCCGCGUGUAUGAAGAAGGCCUUAGGGUUGUAAAGUACUUUCAGCGGGGAGGCGUUACCCGCAGAAGAAGCACCGGCUAACUCCGUGCCAGCAGCCGCGGUAAUAC